CAAUGAUCUAAGUAACCUUAUGCAUUGGUUGUGAAACACUGGCUGCUUCCCUUCCAUUUUUCAAGUAUGUUCUAGUGGUUUCCACACUUUCUUGCACAUGAGAAUCACUUGGGGCGGGGAGGAGUUUAAAAAAAAGUCAAACCAUCCAGGGUGUCUCUGAUAUCGGUUGAAAUCUCUAGGGGGAGGGGUGUGAAGCAGCCUCUGGCGGCUUUUGUUUUGUGAAGCUUUGUAGGUGAUUCUAGUGUGCAGCCAAGUUUGAGAAACAAUGUUAUAGGCCAGUGGUUUUUCAACUUGAGCCGUGAAUCAACAUCACCUGGAGAGCUUGUAAAAACACAGAGGUUGGGUUCCACUGCCUUGACUUCCUGGGUGUGUUGAUACUAUCAAAAUGCUUGGAAUGGAAAGGGAAGAUUCAGUCAUUAAGGAGACAUUUGCAUCACUUUGGAAAAUUCAGGUAGAUUUAGCCCAGGGCUUGAAUAGUCAGCCAUGGUCCAUUCCUUCUAGGUUAAAAGUGAGUUGUAAAUGCAAAUGGGGGAAACUCUGGGUCCACUGCUUGUUACUUAACACAGGUGCUGCCUGGUGGCUCAUCACUUCAACGUUCCCUGUUAGACGGGGACGGGUGGAGGGUGAGUGGUGGAGGGAGGGAGGAGCGGAGGGGGUUGCAGGGGUGUGAUGAGAGUCUGUUCUUUAGGGAAGACCACAACUUUUGCUUUAUUGAGUUUAUAACAGUUCCCGGUUCGGGCCGCUUCUUGUUUUGGCUUAGUGCAGUUAUUUUUCCUUUUCUAUUAUAAAUAUUAUCUGCACAACUCUCUUAGCUCUCCCAGUCCCAUUUAAGUGUCAUUAGGUUUCCCAUUAGCAGCUACUGUUGAUGGUUUCCUGCAGCGGCCUCAGCGUGAGCCUCCUUGCUCUGAAUUUGAUCUGGGGAAGAGCAAGAGAAAAGGAGGAAGUGUGGACUCUACUAAUGUCUGCCUCCCAACUUGAAAACAGAAGCAUUCUUCUGAAACCCAAGUCGUUUUUUUCUCCGGGGAAGCCGGCAGCAGGUGAAACAAUUUGUGCAUCUAUUCCCACAACCCCCAAAUGGCAACUCCCAUUUAAUUUCUUUGCUGCCCUUUUUUUUUUUUGCAUUUUUAAAAUAAAA
rnacentral:lncRNA from 1 species